GUGAAGGACCGCGGCGAGCUGAGGAGCUCGCACCGGCCGCUCGCACCGGCCGCUCGCACCGGCGGGAAGGCAGCGGCCGCCCAGGGGAUGCUGAGGCGGUGCUGCUCGGCUCUCCAACGCUCGAUGUCGUGCCCUGGCCCUCUGUUUGACUUUCCCUGGCCGGUCCGGGCGGUGAGGUGGGACCAGGCCUUGCCCACGCGUGUGGUGACCGAGUAUUUUGCAGUCACAGGGAAUCCCCGUCCUUCAGUAUUACCGGAAGGGGAGAAAACACCAAACCUUUUACUGACAUAGGAAUUGGUCUUGUGAAUGUCAGUUUUCUUGAAAUAGACAUAUUUACGUUUAAAUAAAUAGAUCUUCGUGUGUAAUUAUUUAUUUGGCACCUUGAGAAAGUAUGAGUGGGCUAUCACAGGUUUGACAGUAUUUUGUAUCUAGACAUAGAUUUGUGGUGGUAAAUAAACUGCAGUGGUCACAAAAGGAGGAUUCAUGGUGAAAGCUGCUGUUUAAAGACUUUUGAGAGCAUUUACAAGUGAUGCUGUUCAUUACAGCAUAAACAAUAAAAAUCGGGCUUUUGAUCAGUUUUGCUCUACACUGGAAUAAUUUCCUUGUUGGAGAAAGAAAUACCAGUGUGGGACUCUUGAAACUCCCAGCACUUAGAGGUGCUUAACAAUUGGAUUAACAAAAUAUGUCUUCCAUUUAUACUCUUUAAACUGGAAUAGUUACUGAUAUUUUAAGAAAAAAGAAUGCUUGAUUUCAAUCUGAUGCAUGUCAGCAGUUCACGUCUCUUUUCUCUUUGGGGUUUCUUUUGACCUCUGGUGAAAGCCCCCCAUCUGUUUUUGUUCUUAGGGACAGUAAGAUCUCCUACUGUGUAACGGUACUUACUCAGUCUCCUACCUACUGGAACAGUAAGAACUGUUGUACUGCUGUAAAAAUACAGGUGAUGUGAGAAAAAAAGGGCAGGGCUAGGAGAAGUUGAAAAUUUCCAUUGUGAAAAAUGAUGAAGAGGUCCUCUAAAGUUGACUGGACAUGUUAUGCAGGCAAGAGAAAGUGAAAAGAAUCUAAGGGGAAGUAGAAGCCAUCAAAAGGAAGGAGGGGAGCAGAGCGUGGGUUUGUGAUUUUGAUGAAUUGGGGUGCACUUAACAGAGACUGCAGGAUGUUUGUGUUCUGGUGGCAGUGGCUUGUGCUGAACUGUACGUGCUCAAAGGCUCCUUCCAAGUAUUUGCUGUACUUCUAUUGUUCUGGACUUGAAGACCGUGACUAAUUAUUUCUGUGGAUAAGCUGGCCCUGCAACAUGAGUUAUCUCAAGUUUAAAUUGUCCUGGUUGCAUGAGGAGAAAGUAAUCUUUUCUUUUUCCUUUUGUUUUUCUCUUUUUAUUUUUUAAAUUCUGGUGUGUUGAUGUACAUACUAACUGAUAUGCAAACAGCCCUAAAUGUUGUAAUGAAUGGAUACAGAGGACAAACUUUCCUUUAAAAUGUUUUUCACAGAUUUUCAGUGUCAACAUGACUUCAGUAGGACAAACUCUUGUAGUGCCUCUGUAGUGGAACAUGAGGAAUAAAAGAUGUUUGGCUUCUUUACUUAUUUAUACCUGAGGAUCUUUGAUCCAGGAAAAGAUCUUUCUGUUACUCCCUACAGGUAUUACACUGUGGCCUCUAUCUGCUAUCAGCAGGCCUUGUUUUUUUUUGUUAGAUAAUUUUGGAAUUAGUUCAUGUGCAUGUAAUUGUAUGGAAUUUUUGUCUCUUACUGUUAAAUAAGUUUACUUAUGACCUUUGUUCACUAAAACUCCAUGCCUUAAAUUUCUGAUUUUUCUACUGAAUAAAAAUGUUUAGUAAUGGUGUCA